AUUGAACGCUGGCGGCAUGCCUUACACAUGCAAGUCGAACGGCAGCGGGCCCUUCGGGGUGCCGGCGAGUGGCGAACGGGUGAGUAAUGCAUCGGAACGUACCCGGGAGAGGGGGAUAACCGGCCGAAAGGCUGGCUAAUACCGCAUGAACUCGGAAGAGCAAAGCGGGGGACCUUCGGGCCUCGCGCUCUCGGAGGGGCCGAUGUCCGAUUAGGCUAGUUGGUGGGGUAAAGGCCCACCAAGGCGACGAUCGGUAGCGGGUCUGAGAGGACGAUCCGCCACACUGGGACUGAGACACGGCCCAGACUCCUACGGGAGGCAGCAGUGGGGAAUCUUGGACAAUGGGCGCAAGCCUGAUCCAGCAAUGCCGCGUGGGUGAAGAAGGCCUUCGGGUUGUAAAGCCCUUUCGGCGGGGAAGAAAUGGGUCAGGCGAAUAGUCUGGCCGGAUGACGGUACCCGCAGAAGAAGCACCGGCUAACUACGUG
rnacentral:rRNA from 1 species